GUGGAAUGAAAUAAAAUCCACACCAAAAUAAAACCCAUAACAGAACCGUGUUGACCUAGAGACUCCAGGACUUCAGGAGGAAUUUGCAGGCAAUUUUGUGGCUCCUCUCCUUUGCCUCAGCUCCAACCACAGCCUCAGCACUAAUAAAUGUAUUUACAAGUGGUUUUUGCUCACUCCAUUGAAUCAGCGUGCCCAGGGUGAGUUUCCAGGUCCUGACUUCCCCCUGGGAUUUUGGGAAGGGGCUGGCUGCUGGCUGAGGUCUCUGAUUUAAUCACUCAACCUUACCCUUCUCCUUCAUUUGCAAACCCACAAGGGCGUGUGAAGAGUUUGAGUCAUCUCUGAGUCAGCUCCUCUGAGCACACAGAACCCGAGGCCAGCAGCUGCAGAAAGGGAAUUUUUCUGGAUGAUGGAGAAGGAACCAUCCUGGCACGAAAGGUCUCAGGCUCCAGGCACGGAUGACGCCGUCAGGAUUCAGAGGAAGAAGCUGACACUGAGCAGACAGAAUCCUGUGUUUGAAUGGAAUUUAUGCAUCAUGGAUGAAUAUUCAACAGGAUUUUUUCUCCUGAGAAGCUGAGAGGCCUCAGAGGAAAAGAAAACCAAUAAUUAUCUGCUGCUGUGGAAUGCAACAGGUGCAUCUUUGAUUGGUCCAUGUGAGUUGUUUCUACUUGAUGACCAAUGACAGCCACCUGUGUCGAGGCUGUGAGCAGCCACAAGAUUUUAUUGUAAUUUCAUUCCAUUUCCUUCAUUUCAAGCCUUCUGAUGAAAUCCUUUCUUCUAUUCUUUUAGUAUAUUUUCUUUCAAUAUAAUAGAUAUAAUUUAAUUAC
rnacentral:lncRNA from 1 species